GCCCUUAUGGCGUAGUGGUAGCGCGUGUCACUUGUACGUUGUCUGAGAUGAUCACUUCAUCCCAGACUAUCCGAACUCAAUGACAAGGCCCUCGGUUCAAACCCGAGUGAGGGCA